rnacentral:rRNA from 1 species
AGAGAUCAGAAGGAAUACCGAUNGNGAAGGCNNNNNCUGGAAACAUUACUGACGNUCAGAUGNGAAAGCGUGGGGAGCAAANCAGGAUUAGAUACCCUGGUAGUCCACGCCCUAANCGAUGUACACUAGUUGUUGCUAUACUAGAUAUGGCAGUAAUGCAGUUANCACUUUAAGUGUACCGCCUGGGGAGUACGGUCGCAAGAUUAAAACUCAAAGGAAUAGACGGGGACCCGCACAAGCGGUGGAGCAUGUGGUUUAAUUCGACGAUACGCGAAAAACCUUACCUGGCCUUGACAUAGUAGGAAUCUUUAAGAGAUUAGAGAGUGCUAGCUUGCUAGAACCUACAUACAGGUGCUGCACGGCUGUCGUCAGCUCGUGUCGUGAGAUGUUGGGUUAAGNCCCGCAACGAGCGCAACCCACGNGAUUAGUUGCUAACGGUUCGGCCGAGAACUCUAAUCAGACUGCCUUCGUAAGGAGGAGGAAGGUGUGGNCGACGUCAAGUCAUCAUGGCCCUUACGGCCAGGGCUACACACGUGCUACAAUGGGAUAUACAAAGAGUCGCAAUACCGCGAGGUGGAGCAAAUCUAGAAAAUAUCUCCCAGUUCGGAUUGUUCUCUGCAACUCGAGAACAUGAAGUUGGAAUCGCUAGUAAUCGUGGAUCAGCAUUGCCACGGUGAAUACGUUCCCGGGUCUUGUACUCACCGCCCGUCACACCAUGGGAGUUGAUUUCAUUCGAAGCGGGGAUGCUAAAGUAGCUACCUUCCACAAUGGGAUUAG